ACGGGUGAGUAACACGUGGGCAACCUGCCUGUAAGACUGGGAUAACUUCGGGAAACCGGAGCUAAUACCGGAUAAUCCUUUUCCUCUCAUGAGGAAAAGCUGAAAGACGGUUUCGGCUGUCACUUACAGAUGGGCCCGCGGCGCAUUAGCUAGUUGGUGAGGUAACGGCUCACCAAGGCGACGAUGCGUAGCCGACCUGAGAGGGUGAUCGGCCACACUGGGACUGAGACACGGCCCAGACUCCUACGGGAGGCAGCAGUAGGGAAUCUUCCACAAUGGACGAAAGUCUGAUGGAGCAACGCCGCGUGAGCGAAGAAGGCCUUCGGGUCGUAAAGCUCUGUUGUUAGGGAAGAACAAGUAUCGGAGUAACUGCCGGUACCUUGACGGUACCUAACCAGAAAGCCACGGCUAACUACGUGCCAGCAGCCGCGGUAAUACGUAGGUGGCAAGCGUUGUCCGGAAUUAUUGGGCGUAAAGCGCGCGCAGGCGGUCCUUUAAGUCUGAUGUGAAAGCCCACGGCUCAACCGUGGAGGGUCAUUGGAAACUGGGGGACUUGAGUGCAGAAGAGGAAAGCGGAAUUCCA
rnacentral:rRNA from 1 species